UAGGGUAUUGGCCUACCGUGGCAAUGACGGGUAACGGGGAAUUAGGGUUCGAUUCCGGAGAGGGAGCCUGAGAAACGGCUACCACAUCUAAGGAAGGCAGCAGGCGCGCAAAUUACCCAAUCCUAAUACAGGGAGGUAGUGACAAGAAAUAACAAUACAGGACUUUUUGGUUUUGUAAUUGGAAUGAGUUAAGUAUAAACCCCUUUACAAGUAUCAAUUGGAGGGCAAGUCUGGUGCCAGCAGCCGCGGUAAUUCCAGCUCCAAUAGCGUAUAUUAAAGUUGUUGCAGUUAAAAAGCUCGUAGUUGGAUUUCUGUUAAUAAUUUAUAUAAAAUAUUUUGAAUAUUUAUAUAACAUUAACAUAAUUCAUAUUACUAUAUUUUUUAGUAUAUGAAAUUUUACUUUGAGAAAAUUAGAGUGCUUAAAGCAGGCAUAUGCCUUGAAUACUCCAGCAUGGAAUAAUAUUAAAGAUUUUUAUCUUUCUUAUUGGUUCUAAGAUAAGAAUAAUGAUUAAUAGGGACAGUUGGGGGCAUUUGUAUUUAACAGUCAGAGGUGA
rnacentral:rRNA from 1 species